rnacentral:lncRNA from 1 species
UUAUAAGCACAACCAAGCAUAUACCAAAGAGUAAAUCAAAUUUUCAUCCAUGUUUAUAACUCUCUUUAACAGUCAUGUAAUUAAAAACCAAAUCCUCAUCAUUGUGUUGGAAGGUACCCUAAGACACAAACAAACACACAAAAACAACUCUUUUUGGGUUUUUCAAAACAAUUUUUCAAAAUUUUAUGAGAUUUUCGGAUUUUUAUGUCAAAACACACUAAAACACUCCAAAACAGCUUAAAAACACUUAAAAACAGCAAGGAACAACACUUAGAAGUAAUGGGUGAUAAACUCCCACGAAUUUCAUGCAAAAUAACUUGGUUACCCCCCCACACUUAAAUCAAACAUUGUUUUCAAUGUUUCAAGCAUAAACUCACAUAAAAACAAGCAAACAAACAAACAACGAAUAAACAUGACAAGUAUGGCAAAGUAAAAACAAGACAGAGUAGAGUUUAAGAACGCAAAUCUGGUUAUGGAGAUAGAUGAUCUUGUUGACUUUCCACAGCUUUGAUCUCGAACUGGUUUGGAAUUCUAAGCGAGGAAUAUGAGAGUUCCUUGGUUUCAAAUCAGACUCCUUCUGCUGGGUUGAUUUGAUUGUGUAGUCUGCAUUCUUCUCUGCUUGUUUCUUCUGCACGGCGCGCAGGCACGAGGUAGAAGUGUUGGUCUGUUUCUUUGUUCAAUCUGUCCAAGUGCCGACCAUUUGCUUUCUUUCUCCUUGUCCCUAGCUGAGGAUGAAUUAGCACAUUGUCUCCAUAUGCUUCGAGGUAUCAUUUUCACUUCCUUUAUCUGUUCUGCAGGCAGAUGUGGUAGCUUUUCAGGAAGCAUAAGAUGUU